GGAGAGGUGGCCGAGCGGUUGAAGGCGGCGCUCUCGAAAAGCGUUAGGUGAUGAGCCUCGUGGGUUCGAAUCCCACCCUCUCCG
rnacentral:tRNA from 1 species